CAGCCGCCGCGGGAAAACGUAGGUGGCAAGCGUUGUCCGGAAUUAUUGGGCGUAAAGGGCUCGCAGGCGGUUUCUUAAGUCUGAUGUGAAAGCCCACGGCUCAACCGUGGAGGGUCAUUGGAAACUGGGAGACUUGAGUGCAGAAGAGGAGAGCGGAAUUCCAUGUGUGGCGGUGAAAUGCGUAGAUAUAUGGAGGAACACCAGUGGCGAAGGCGGCUCUCUGGUCUGUAACUGACGCUGAGGCUCGAAAGCGUGGGGAGCAAACAGGAUUAGAGACCCGUGUAGACCCUGCCUCUUAUAC
rnacentral:rRNA from 1 species